UAGCACAUACCUAUGGCUAUAAAAUGUGAAGAAGAUGGCUCAAAGUCACUUUCAGCAAAAAUCACAGAGACGUCUUGUUGCUGAAAAGCAGUAAACUGAAAAGAUGAACACUGUCGUGCCCGCUCUCCUUGUUGCUUUUAUAGCAUCUUGCCAAGGUAUAACGAUAACGUUUCCAGUGAAGAUAUCUCCUAUUGCUGGCUUAUGGCCACCAUCAGCAUCUUGGGGAAACUGUCACAGUGAAGUUAGACCAGGGCAUGGUCUCAUUCAGUCCAACAAGGAGUGUGUAUUGGAUAAGUUGAAGUCUACAUGCGGCUUCACUGCAAGCCAAGCAGACACUUUGCUGCAAGCUGCUAGCACUAUGGUCGGAAGACAUCCUCACGCUAGUGGACAGCAAGUUGGUGUCGACAGUUGUUCAAAACAGUGUAUGUGCAAUGUUGCCUCAGAUUGUUCCUGCCAAAUAACACAAGAUUGGUGCUCAAGAGAUCUACGAAGCGCUUGCAGCAACGAAAGAAGUCGUUAGAGAGACUAUUUUAUCGUAGAGAAAAAAAUGAUAAUUACAAACACAUUCGACAUGUUGGCUGUGAUUAAAAUUUGUCAAAGAGUAUGAUGAUUCUUUGAAAAUUGUUAAAGAGCCUAGUUUUCUGCAUUUGUUCAAAGAGACUGGUCUAUGCUUUCCAACCUCUCGUUGUACAUUUUUAGGUAAAAUAUUGCAAUGUUGCAAUUCAAGUAAAAAGUUUCAUUAUGCAAUUACUGAGCCCAAACUCAUUGUGGUUAAACAGAUGAUAUGCAGAAGUGGCCUACAAAUUAUCACUUACAUCGACACAAGCAAGGUUAUUUAAUUUCACUAAAUGGCUAGCGAUAUAAAUAUUCUUGCUUAUGAUAUUGAUCUUAUAAAUAGAUAAUAAAUGAAUAAAUAAAUAAAUAAAUAAAUAAUAGGAAUGUCACUUUUCUAUGAACGGCAAUAAGAGUAGCCAAAUGUCACUUUUGCAUCUCAGUUAAAAAAUAUCAGUAGAAUCAAUAUGAAAAAUCACUUGAUGACCAGAAAGAUUUUUGGCCAAGACAAGACCUUGACUAAAAUUGAUUUUUCCCCAAAAAAAUAUCAUCGGCCUUAACACAAUUUUAGCAUGGUAAGAGGAACUGGAUCGAGCCUAUCAACCUUGAAUGGAGAUGCAGAAUGAAAUAUUAAAAAAAAGUAUGAUGCAUAAUUCUAUAGCAAUAUGUUCCCAGAGGUAGCGAGUAAUCAAAAUAAAAAGGGGAAAUAAUUGUAUCGUUAUUAGCUUACUAUUAUGUUUUAACCCAAACAAACAAUAAAUAGAGAAGUAAGAGAAAAUAGUAUCUUGAUAUUUUCUUUAAAAGUAGAUAAAAGGAUAAGUAAGCCGAGAGGCCAAGCCUGACAUUGUUAUCAGACAUCCACCACUUCGAACAUAAGAUUCAAAGUUAGUUCCUUGAACCUGUUCACCUUUGAAUGUUGACCUUUCAUGAAAUCGGGGGUCAAUAUCCAUAUGACCUUCUCACCUCUCAUGAAAUUGAGGAUUGGAUCCCUUUUCCGUCAGAUCUGAACGUCUUUCGUGCUGUAAGGUUAAACAUUAAUCUGCUGGAUACUAAAGAGAGCCUCAGCCAAUGUAAAGAAAGGCGUGUAGCAUUUCUUCUGUUCUUUUUUACCUAUUUGGUUCCCUCCUAUUUCCUUUUUUGGAUGCUUCUUUAACUUUGAUUUUGGUAAAGAUUGUCUCUGUCAUUUUCCAUUUCUGCAUUAUUCAAAUUAAAUAAGGUGCCAGGUUUAUUACAGAUUCACACUGCUUCAAGGGUGUGACAUUGAAAAAGCCUUUGGUAUCUUCGUGUCUCCCCAAAAACAAGAGCAUUCGCUCCAGGUAUUCUAAGUUUAGCAUGUCUUAUUCCCUUUAAAAAUCAUAACCUGGUGUUUUUAGCAGAAACAAUUCUUAAAUUUUACCCUUUGAGAAUGCAGGCCAAUAGAUAGAUACAAUAUGGGCCAACUAUAAAAACAAUCAUUACCUUCUAUUGUAAGCAAAUGUUAUAAAGAAAAGUCGAAGCUAACAUCAAACCAAACUAUAUUUGUUCGAAGCACCUAUGUCAUCACAUUUCAUUCCUUUGCCUACUAUUUUGUCCUUUGACUUAAUUUUUGAAUCAACACAAGGUGAUCAACCUCCAGGAGAAAAUGUCAGUACUUCAGCAGUUUUGUUUAGCCAGCUGUUUCCAUAGAAGGAGCACUUGCUUUCGUAAAAUCAAGGCCUGGCUUUUAAAAAUGCAUUCUUGCAGCAUGUUGACCGGUUGGCUUUUAGAAUGCAGUAUAUUAUCAUUUGUAAAAUGUUGGCACUCCACUUUCAACCUUUGACUCUUUGUCAUUAAACAAAAGAUGAAUUCAAGAAAGCGUUUUGCUUUUUGAUAUCGAAGGAAUUGAAUGUUUUCAAAUAAUGAAUCAUUCUUAAAAGCAAAUUAUAUCUAACUGUAGCAAAAAUUCUUUGACUGGCAUUGAAAAAACAUAAGACACUCUGACAGAAGGUCUUUGCGAAAGUUUAGGGUGUAUUGAUCAGUAUGAUAAUUUGCAGAUGCGAAGUCACGUGUAAGUAGAGGCAGGUGAAGACCCUGAGAAACAAGAGAAAGUAGCAAAUGUAAAAAGAAGUUGAAGUCGACAAAACAUUAUAUUCGAGACAUAUCGUGUUUGUAGAGACGUUGUGUUUUGAUACAAAAUCGAAAUUGUAGCAUUUCAUUUAUCUUUUUGUUGUAUUUUUUAUGCUGGACUCUGACCCCUGUAUCACAACAACAGCUAGUGAGAAUAACUGUACAUAUAGAGCUGUACAGGCAUUGGCUUAUAACAGGAAGGCUCUAUGCUGUUUCACGUAUUGAUCAGUUAACAUAUGAUUACACAAUCAGGCUUUGUUUGUGUUAUAGCUCUAUUGCUCUGUACAAAUUAUACGUUGUCAAACAUAAACAAGUAGAGGCAGCAAGUAGAUUGCUUAUUAACUUCAGAUUUUCUCAUACUAAAAUCUCACAGAAGAUUCUGUUAAGUGUAGGUUAUCAUUUCUUAUACUGAUGAGAUACACAAUGGAAUACCACAGUGAUCUCAUCUUUGUCCCUUGAUGUUUUUUAUAUGGAUAAAAGUAAUUAACGCACAACAUACAAUUUCCUUUCUAAGGGCAAUAGAAAAUCAGUCACGAGGUUGAAUUUUGCCUUGAUAAAGGAAUCUCAAAAUGAAAUAAAUAUAAUUUUGCUUGGAAGUGUUGAUUAUCCAGACAUAAUAACAUAAGAAUUUAAUGCAUAUGGAAGUUAGAAACGUAAUGUAUUUUCCAGGUAAAUCAACAAACACUUGUUGGUGUUAUCUCCAUGUGCUCCGUUCAGGGCUAUAAAAGUGCCUGAGAGAUAGCCGGACAGUACUUAGAAGAAAAGGUCUACUUACAACAAAGUCACUCAGCCGUUAUCAAGAAAAUGAAGACAUUCAUUGUUUUUCUUAUUUUUGCUGUCAUGGCAACUUGUCAAGGAAUGACAAUUAAGUUGCCUGUGUUGGUAUCACCUAUCGCAGGCAUAUUUGCGCCAUCAAGCUCUUGGGGAAAUUGCGAUAGUGAGCAGAAGGCAUACCAUGGACUUGUUGAAUCAAACAAGGGAUGCUCAAUGAAAAAACUCAAAUCCAUAUGUAAGUUUGGGGAUGAUCAAGCAGAGUUGCUCUUCCGCCUGGCUAACUCAAUUGUCAGUAGACAUCCGAUGGCCAGAGGAGAGAUAAUCGGAGCAGACCAGGAUGCAAAGAAAUGCAUGUGCAAAGUUGCAUCUGAAUGCAAAUGCCAGAUCACACAAGAUUGGUGCUAAAAUGAGCAAAAAGGGCAACGAACAUUGAAGAAAUUUAAAAGUAAAAUCCAGCCAAUCGUUGUUAAAUGUAUUUUAGCAUCAAUUCAGUUAUAUGAGGAAUUCAUUAAAUCUUUUUCGCGUGCCUAUCUGCCUCAACAUAUGUCAAUAAUAUAUCGAGCACAAUCAGCAAAUCGUGAUUGCAAAUAUUGCUGUAAAUGUGUUUGUCAAGGAACAAUCACCAUCACCAGCGCAGGGGCUUAGCUGAUAAAAGAUCUCAAUGAAACCGGGGAUAGGGUAUUGUAGACCGAUGCAGUUAGGAAGGAGAAAAAUAUUUCUUUGACUAAAUUUCUGAAGCGUAGUCCUGUGACUAGAUCAAAAUAUUUCUGAAGCGUAAGCAUGGAGACUUUAGCUACGUAACUGACAGAGGGAGUGUAUAGGUUGUGGCGGUUUUUUCAUGAGUUGUUCGGUAAAACCGUUUGUUGGUUAGUAAAACUGCCAAAUGGUAAGUAUAAUAGGGACAAAGCAAGUUUUAUCCAUGUUCAGUAAGUUGGUAAACUUUGUUGCCAUACCACAAACAAUUGUGACUGUGAUUUUCUCAAUGAAAGACGGUGGAGCUAGCUUUGUGCUGAGCAGGUUGCAUGAAUCUUACUGUUUCAAUUUGAAUCAAAAUUUGACAGAACCAAUGGUCACGGACAAGUUCACAAGGCACAGAAAGUUAGCUCAUCUAUGUUUGUGCUUUGAGCAAUACUGUAAAACCUUUUUAUUGAGGUGUUAAGCCAGAUUAUUAACUGAAUAUUAACUGAAAACCACAUCUAUACAGUGAGAAAUCCUCAAGAUGACGUCAUUCAUUGUUCCCAUCUUUCUUGCUUUUAUAGCAACUUGUCAAGGUAUAACAAUUCGUUUGCCUGUGAUGACCAACCCAAUUUCAGGAAUGUUUGCUCCAUCAAGCUCUUGGGGAUCUUGCAAUAGCGAGCAAAAGGCAUUCCAUGGGAUGGUCCAAUCAAACAAGGAUUGUGCUAUGGAAAAGCUGAUGUCAGUUUGUGAGUUUAGUGAACAGGAUGCUCAGAUGUUGCUCAACCUUGCAAAUUCGAUAAUUUCCAGGCACCCCAUGGCUCGUGGUGAGGUAGUGGGAGCAGAUAGUGGUGCCAAAAAAUGCAUGUGCAAGGUUGCAUCUGAAUGCAAAUGCACAAUAACACAAGACUGGUGCAGUGAUCGUGAUUUGAAAAAGAAAGCUAGGAAAAUGACAAAUAAGAAGAAAUCUGAAGAAAAGGCAGAAGAUAAAAAAAUC